AACGAACGCUGGCGGCAUGCCUAACACAUGCAAGUCGAACGAGACCUUCGGGUCUAGUGGCGCACGGGUGCGAAACGCGAGGGAACUUGCCCUUAGGUUCGGAAUAACUCCCCGAAAGGGGUGCUAAUACCGGAUAAUGUCUUCGGACCAAAGAUUUAUCGGCUUUGGAUGGGCUCCCGUUGGAUUAGUUUUUUGGUAAGGUAAAAACCUACCAAAGCUACGAUCCAUAGCUGGCCAGGGAGGAUGGCCAGCCAGACUGGGACUGAGGCCCCGCCCUGACUCCUUCGGGAGGCAGGAGGAGGGAAGAUUGGACGACGGGCGAAAGCCUGAUCCAGCAAUGCCGCGUGAGUGAUGAAGGCCUUAGGGUUGUAAAGCUCUUUUACCCGGGAUGAUAAUGACGGUACCGGGAGAAUAAGCGCCGGCUAACUCCGUG
rnacentral:rRNA from 1 species